UAGACCCAUCACAACCUCGGAUGUUUUUGAGCUUCUCCUACAUCGACGAGAUAGAGAGCCAUUCCGCUCCAUCAGACAUCUCAGUCGAGCUUCAGCCGACAGAUUCGAACUCUCUGACAAGUCAUGACAAUGGCCACUACCCUACUCCACUCUUUGCAAUGGAUUCCACGUGGCUCCACCACUCUCUGACAAGUCGUGACAACGGACACCACUCCACUCUCCAUAACAAACUCCAUAUGACCC
rnacentral:lncRNA from 1 species